UAUGGUGCAAGCGUUAUCCGGAUUUACUGGGUGUAAAGGGAGCGCAGGCGGCAUGGCAAGUCCGAUGUGAAAACCCGGGGCUCAACCCUGGGACUGCAUUGGAAACUGUCAGGCUAGAGUGUCGGAGAGGUAAGUGGAAUUCCUAGUGUAGCGGUGAAAUGCGUAGAUAUUAGGAGGAACACCAGUGGCGAAGGCGGCUUACUGGACGACAACUGACGCUGAGGCUCGAAAGCGUGGGGAGCAAA
rnacentral:rRNA from 1 species